rnacentral:rRNA from 1 species
CCUACGGGAGACAGCAGUGGGGGAUAUUGCACAAUGGGGGAAACCCUGAUGCAGCGACGCCGCGUGGGCGAAGAAGUAUUUCGGUAUGUAAAGCCCUAUCAGCAGGGAAGAAGAAAGGACGGUACCUGAGUAAGAAGCACCGGCUAAAUACGUGCCAGCAGCCGCGGUAAUACGUAUGGUGCAAGCAUUAUCCGGAUUUACUGGGUGUAAAGGGAGCGUAGACGGCCAGACAAGUCAGAAGUGAAAGCCCAGGGCUCAACCCUGGGACUGCUUUUGAAACUGCCGGGCUGGAGUGCAGGAGAGGUAAGCGGAAUUCCUAGUGUAGCGGUGACAUGCGUAGAUAUUAGGAGGCACACCAAUAGCGUAGGCAGGUUGCUGGGACGGUUCUGACACUCAGGCACGAACGCGUCGGGAGCAAACUGGAUUAGAUACCCUUGUAGUC